GCGGGCGUCGUAUAACGGUUAUUAUAUCAGCCUUCCAAGCUGAGGAAGCCGGUUCAAUUCCGGUCGCCCGCUCCA
rnacentral:tRNA from 1 species